GAAUUUAUCUUCUAUAGCAACCAUCGCCUAGGGUUUAUUCUAUUUUCCUGUUUUUCUUUCACACAUCGACGAGAUGCUAAGAACCGAAGGAUGAACCGGUGAAGCACACAUGACGUGAAGACUACAAACUGGAGACACACGAAUGAUGGCUUUUGUUCGAGACACCUACCUCUACGGUCCAUUUGAUGGUUGUGGGGUACAAGACUUGUCUAAACGAUAUAGUAAUCAUUGGUUCCAUAACUGGAAAAAGGAACCAAACUCAUGGGACGAUUCUCGAUCAACACCUGCAAAUUGGAUUAUUGGACAUCUAUGGUUGUGCCUCUGUUGUCUAAUAUGGUGAAGCUGCAUUACCAACAGGAUAAAAAGAGGAAAAGAAGAUAUUGGUUGUGAUAUAGGGUAUUCUUUAAGAAUGGAAUACUAAACCAAUCUAUUUUUUAAGAAUAAAAGGUUGAAAAAAGGACAAUUGGUUCAAGAAUGUUACAAUUACAUUGGCUGGUCAAAGAUUAACUAAUAUGAUAAAAAAAAAUGUACAUAGGAGGAAAAUGUAUAGGUUUUUUUAUUUUUAUUUUUUUUUUUAGUUUAGCAUUUUGACAAAAAAGAAUGUGUUAUAUAUUCUUUAUAUAUAUAUAUAUAUAUAUAUAUAU